GCAGGGGUAGCCCAGUCUGGCCAACGGCGCAGCGUUCAGGGCGCUGUCCUGUAGAGGUUCGCAGGUUCAAAUCCUGCCCCCUGCA
rfam:Halobaculum gomorrense strain DSM 9297 genome assembly, contig: Ga0131215_109